rnacentral:snRNA from 1 species
GUGCUCACUGUAGCAGCACAUAUACUAAAAUUGGAAUGAUGCAGAGAUUAGCAUGUCCCCUGAGCAAGAAUGGCACAAAAAUGUCUUAAUUUUUUUUAAGUUUU